GCAUCUUAUAUAAACGAGUCUGGUCUUCUUGAGCCUCCAGUAGUAACUUGUUAGUGUGAUAAAACCGUCGGCGCUACAGACGAACAAACAUACCACUACUCGACAGUUAAAAAAAGUCAAUCGUAAACCAGCAUCAUGCCUUUCAAGCCAGUAGAAAACCCUAAGUGCCCAAAAUGUGGGAAGUCGGUGUAUGCGGCAGAGGAGCGCGUUGCCGGCGGUUUUAAAUGGCACAAAAUGUGCUUUAAAUGUGGUAUGUGUGGCAAGUUCUUAGACUCCACAAACUGUGCUGAACACGAAGGAGAACUGUACUGCAAGGUUUGCCACGGCCGCAAAUACGGGCCUAAAGGCUAUGGUUUUGGUGGUGGAGCCGGAUGUCUCAGCACGGAUAAGGGGGAACAAUUCAGCAGCAAUGUUGAAGCGACACGGGCAACAGCAGCAAUGCCAGUCCGUGCAAUAGCUAUGGCACCAGAAGGAGAAGGCUGCCCAAGAUGCGGUGGAUACGUCUAUGCUGCUGAGCAAAUGUUAGCCAGAGGAAGGGGCUGGCAUAGAGAGUGUUUCAAAUGUGGCGAUUGUUCGAAACGACUGGAUUCUACGAAUUGUUGUGAAGGACCAGACAAAAAUAUAUACUGCAAAGUGUGCUAUGCGAAGAAAUUUGGGCCUAAAGGCUAUGGAUAUGGACAAGGUGGUGGAGCAUUGCAGAGUGAUGGUGUUUCUAAUGGUGUGCUAUGCAAAAAAGUUUGGUCCACGAGGGGUAGGUUUUGGAGGGUCAGCGAUUGGUCUAACAUGCGAUAUCAAUGACAACAGUGAGGUCUCUGCUCCUAGAACUACUGUGUUGGACACAGCACGUAUCAAAGCACCACCUGGUCAAGGAUGUCCUCGGUGUGGUGGUUCAGUAUUUGCUGCUGAGCAGGUCUUAGCUAAAGGAAGUGAAUGGCAUCGCAAAUGCUUCAAGUGUAAGGACUGCAACAAAACCCUUGAUUCAAUCAUCGCUUGUGAUGGGCCAGAUAAGGAUGUGUACUGCAAAACUUGCUAUGGAAAGAAAUGGGGACCACAUGGCUAUGGAUUUGC
rnacentral:misc_RNA from 1 species